UCUUCAAUAGCUAUAGUGGUUUGAGUGUUGGACUACAACUCUGGAGACCGGGGUUUGAAUCCCUGUUUUGGCA